GCCCUCGUAGCUCAGUUGGCAGAGCGCAUUCUUGGUAAGAAUGAGGUCUCCGGUUCAAGCCCGGACGAGGGCUCCA
rnacentral:tRNA from 1 species